UGGGGAAUAUUGCACAAUGGGCGCAAGCCUGAUGCAGCAACGCCGCGUGAACGAUGAAGGUCUUCGGAUCGUAAAGUUCUGUUGCAGGGGAAGAUAAUGACGGUACCCUGUGAGGAAGCCCCGGCUAACUACGUGCCAGCAGCCGCGGUAAUACGUAGGGGGCUAGCGUUAUCCGGAUUUACUGGGCGUAAAGGGUGCGUAGGUGGUCCUUCAAGUCGGUGGUUAAAGGCUACGGCUCAACCGUAGUAAGCCGCCGAAACUGGAGGACUUGAGUGCAGGAGAGGAAAGUGGAAUUCCCAGUGUAGCGGUGAAAUGCGUAGAUAUUGGGAGGAACACCAGUAGCGAAGGCGGCUUACGGGAGCGCAACUGACGCUGAAGCUCGAAGGUGCGGGUAUCGAACAGG
rnacentral:rRNA from 1 species